rnacentral:lncRNA from 1 species
UCCAUUUAUCACAUAAACUCAAGUUGGGAAGGGAUAAUUUUGCACAAGAAACUUGUGUUUUUUAGGAGUCAAUUUGUGUCCCAAAAGGGUGGGAAUAGGGAUUCAAAAAAGGAACGAAAGGGUGGCGUCUGUCCUGAGGAAGUUUCCCCGUGUGGUAGAGGAGACAUUGUCCUUGCCCUAAGCGAACAGCAAUAAGUUUGUCGUUCACGUUACAGGAGGAGGCAAAGCUAUUCUCCAAAAGCUGUAGCUCCAAAGAAUUCUCAGUUUAGCUCUGUGGUGAGCACCCACCUCCUUCCCCCACUGUUUGGGUCUGAGAGCAGUGUGGCCAGGGUGGGAAACAUUUCUUGAGUGUAGGAGAAACGUUGAACCCCAUUUAACCCAAAUGGACUUUGGAAUCCCGAUGUAUGAGUCAAGAGUGCUUGUGGGGGAGGGAGGAAGAGGAAGGAAUAUUUUUAGUAAAGCUGGAGUCCAAAAAGGAAUGGGUAUUUAAUAAUGAGAAAUAUCCUUGACCAUUUUCUUCUUCUGGGAAGAAAAUGGUCAAGGAUAUUAGGUUGAAAUAAGAGCUAUAAGGCUGGAAAGUGGAGAUCAGGCUUCAAGAUUUAACCUCCCUGAAGGAAUGAGAGGAACGAGGUUUGGCUGAGAGUGGCUUGGUGGAAUCCAAGCAAGCUCAGGCACUAAGUCAGGGUAUUGGACCUCAGUUUCAACCAGCUGAGAUAACUUACCCCAGGCACAGAAUUUAGAACAAAGCAACCUGACUGAAAUGCUAAACAGAGGACUCUGAAGAGUUAAAAGUCCCAGACAUUUAGCUUGCACGCACUCUUCUUGAGGAUAUACUGGGCUAUUAUUAACACAGGCAGAUUUAGUAUUUAGUAUUUAACUUUUAUUGCUUAGUAUAAAUAUAUUAGAAUAAGUGGGUUGAAAACUUAUUUGAAGAUGUCUCAUAUUUCUUUUUUAUGCCCCUUCUGUCCCUUCAUGCAUUUAAUUUCACAUUAUCACUCUGUAUUUUAUACUAACUGCUGUUCUCCUGAGGUCACUCAUGGAUGUUCUGGAUCCCUGAUUAGUGGUAAGAACCUCAUAUUAAGAACAUAUCUCAGUUUAUACCAUACUUUCUAAUAGUGCCCAAUGGUGUUUUUACCUGC